CCUAAAAGUAAAUGGGCAGGUAAAUGAGACUUCGAUGGAGUCAGUACCACUGGAGAAAAGCAAGAAAAGAGAAUCCAUCUUUGCUAUUGAUGUGGAAAUGCUAAAUAUAUCUGCGGAAGUUGGAGAUGGUGUUGAGAUGACUGUCCAGGUGCAGUCAAUCUUUUCUGAAAAUGCACGGAUCGGUGUGCUUCUAGAAGGUUUAAUGCUCAACCUUAAUAAUGCAAGAAUAUUUAGAAGUAGCAGAAUGCAAGUCUCUCGUAUUCCAAAUGCUUCUAGAAGUGCACCAACUUCAAAACAUGAGAUAGGCACAACAUGGGAUUGGGUUAUUCAAGCCCUUGAUGUCCACAUAUGCAUGCCAUACAGGUUGGAAUUGCGGGCCAUCGAUGAUUCUGUUGAGG
rnacentral:misc_RNA from 1 species